rnacentral:tRNA from 1 species
GAGGGUAUAGCUCAAGUGGUAGAGUGGACACUUAUCAUGCAUGAAGGCCUGGGUUCAAUCCCCAGUACCUCCU